AGUGAACGCUGGCGGUAGGCCUAACACAUGCAAGUCGAACGGCAGCACAGUAAGAGCUUGCUCUUACGGGUGGCGAGUGGCGGACGGGUGAGGAAUACAUCGGAAUCUACUUUUUCGUGGGGGAUAACGUAGGGAAACUUACGCUAAUACCGCAUACGACCUACGGGUGAAAGCAGGGGAUCUUCGGACCUUGCGCGAUUGAAUGAGCCGAUGUCGGAUUAGCUAGUUGGCGGGGUAAAGGCCCACCAAGGCGACGAUCCGUAGCUGGUCUGAGAGGAUGAUCAGCCACACUGGAACUGAGACACGGUCCAGACUCCUACGGGAGGCAGCAGUGGGGAAUAUUGGACAAUGGGCGCAAGCCUGGUCCAGCCAUACCGCGUGGGUGAAGAAGGCCUUCGGGUUGUAAAGCCCUUUUGUCGGGAAAGAAAAGCAGCAGGUUAAUACCCCGCUGUUCUGACGGUACCCAAAGAAUAAGCACCGGCUAACUUCGU
rnacentral:rRNA from 1 species